rnacentral:misc_RNA from 1 species
AACAUCGCGCACCUGCGGGAACCUGCGGAAGGAUCAUUACUGAGUCACGUGUUCAAACAACCCUUCUGUGGACCUGAAAUAAAACCGUUGCCUCGGCGGGCGGUCCCCCCCAAACCAACCCCACGUGGUGGGUUAGGGGAGACCAGACAGUCCGGUACGCUUAAGGCGUCCGGCGCCAGCCGCUGGCCCCAAACAAUUAAACUCUAGUAAUCUUUACCUUCUGAGUUUCAAUAUUUAAAA